GACGAACGCUGGCGGCGUGCUUAACACAUGCAAGUCGAACGGAAAGGCCCUGCUUUUGUUGGGUGCUCGAGUGGCGAACGGGUGAGUAACACGUGAGUAACCUGCCCUUGACUUUGGGAUAACUUCAGGAAACUGGGGCUAAUACCGGAUAUGAGCUCCUGCUGCAUGGUGGGGGUUGGAAAGUUUCGGCGGUUGGGGAUGGACUCGCGGCUUAUCAGCUUGUUGGUGGGGUAGUGGCUUACCAAGGCUUUGACGGGUAGCCGGCCUGAGAGGGUGACCGGCCACAUUGGGACUGAGAUACGGCCCAGACUCCUACGGGAGGCAGCAGGGGGGAAUAUUGCACAAUGGGCGGAAGCCUGAUGCAGCAACGCCGCGUGCGGGAUGACGGCCUUCGGGGUGUAAACCGCUUUCGCCUGUGACGAAGCGUGAGUGACGGUAAUGGGUAAAGAAGCACCGGCUAACUACGUG
rnacentral:rRNA from 1 species